GAUGAAGAACGCAGCGAAAUGCGAUAAGUAAUGUGAAUUGCAGAAUUCAGUGAAUCAUCGAAUCUUUGAACGCACCUUGCGCCCUUUGGCCAUUCCGAAGGGCAUGCCUGUUUGAGUAUCAUGAACACCUCAACUCUUUAUGGUUUUCCAUGAUGAGCUUGGACUUUGGGGGUUUUGCUGGCCUAUGGUCGGCUCCUCUAAAAUAAAUCAGCUUACCGGUGUUUGGUGGGUAUCAUGGGUGUGAUAACUAUCUACGCUUGUGGUUUUUCCACCAGGUAACCUUCGACAGCGGAGGUUCACUGGAGCUCAUAGAUGUCUCUCCUCAGCGAGGACAGCCCUUUGAAUGUUUGAUCUCAAAUCAGGUAGGACUACCCGCUGAACUUAAGCAUAUCAAUAAGCGAGGA
rnacentral:misc_RNA from 1 species